rnacentral:rRNA from 1 species
UACAGAGGGGGCAAGCGUUGUUCGGAAUUACUGGGCGUAAAGGGCGCGUAGGUGGCCCGCUAAGUCGAACGUGAAAUCCCCGAGCUCAACUCGGAACUGCGUCCGAUACUGGCGGCUUGAAUCCGGGAGAGGGAUGCGGAAUUCCAGGUGUAGCGGUGAAAUGCGUAGAUAUCUGGAGGAACACCGGUGGCGAAGGCGGCAUCUGGUCAGUACUGACGCUGAGACGCGAAGCGUGGGAGCGAACAGG